UCUGUUGCAGGUUGUACAGGAGUGUGAAUUACUAUUCUGACAAUGUCAAGCAGUUCAUUCAGUGUGUUUUUUUUUUACAUAUGUGAACAUUUUAGAGAAUUUUGGGGGUUUCUUGUUCUAUUAUUUAAUUUCAACCAUAGUUGUAAGUCAUUUUCAUCUCUGAAUGGGUGGUAACAACAAGCCCAGCAGGUAAUUCACACCACGUUAAAAACUGUUGGUGCAAUAAGAAGAUUAAUCAUGCAUCCGCAGUUCUUUCAGUUUUUACGUUGAGUCCUUAUUCACAACGCACUGAUUUCAAAAUCUUCAUUCAAAACUGGCCAUCAAUUCCAGAAGAUUUACUCUGCUCCCAAAGAAAAACUCAAUGCCUUACUCUAUCCACUUUGCAUGCAGUGUCAACCAUUUUGUCAUGUUUUCUACUAGAGAUCCUGGCAGAGACUUCUCAAGGAGGACCUAAUAAGAAGAGCACAAAAUUGUAAUGAGAUCAAUCUUUAGCUGCACUCGAUGAAAUUUGGGACAGGAUGUAAAGACUGCUGUGGGCCAGUGGAAUAAAGUUCAUAAAGGGCCCCAUGAGUAGCAACACACUUAUUGUCAUUGAAAAUGAAGACUGGCUUAACAUCUUCAAACUGCCCUACGGUUCAGAGGAUCAUUAACGUGGCCCCUUACAGUAUGCUUUUCUAUCUCUGUUAUUGGUAAUUCUUUGCUAGUAGAACUUUGUAAUCCCUGCCCUCAUUUUAUCAAAGUAAUAUGACAGAUCACGCUGUGAAUAUGAAGUUUGAAAGAUUGUUAUGUUUUGCAAGUGACUGAUGUAAGAAAAUGUGGAAGAAUGAAUAUGGUUACAUGAGUUAUGAUAAAUUCUGCUGA